CCUACGGGCGGCUGCAGUAGGGAAUAUUGGGCAAUGGAUGCAAGUCUGACCCAGCCAUGCCGCGUGCAGGAAGAAGGUCCUCUGGAUUGUAAACUGCUUUUUUGGGGGAAGAAUAGUUUUCUUGCGAGGAAAUGUGACGGUACCCUAAGAAUAAGCCACGGCUAACUACGUGCCAGCAGCCGCGGUAAUACGUAGGUGGCAAGCGUUGUCCGGAUUUAUUGGGUUUAAAGGGUGCGUAGGUGGUUUGAUAAGUCAGUGGUGAAAGCCGGUUGCUCAACAAUCGAGUUGCCAUUGAUACUGUCGGACUUGAGAGAAGUGGAGGUUCAUGGAAUGGAUGGUGUAGCGGUGAAAUGCAUAGAUAUCAUCCAGAACGUCGAUUGCGAAGGCAGUGGGCUGUACUUUAUCUGACACUGAGGCACGAAAGUGUGGGGAUCAAACAGGAUUAGAUACCCCUGUAGUC
rnacentral:rRNA from 1 species